CAAAUGGAUGGCCUGCGGGCAUGGGCAAGCCCGCAGAUACCUAACUGCCCGACUGCUCGCGUGCAGCUUUCCGGAUCAGGAUUCGGGGGGGACUUACAGCCUUUCCGAUCCCACGGGCUGCUGAACGCUUGACAGUUUACCCCUUGUGAAAAACUUUUUGUUGCUUCGGCAGCGCCUCCCCGUUCCACGAGGAGGGUCAGCCUGCCGGUGGCAUUUCAGGAAACCCUUUAGCUGAAACUUAGCAUAAGCACACGUCUGAGAGCGCAGUCGAAUGACACAUA
rnacentral:misc_RNA from 1 species